rfam:Camelus ferus unplaced genomic scaffold scaffold460, whole genome shotgun sequence.
GGUGUUAUAGCUCAGUGGUAGAGUGUGUGCUUACUAUGCACGAGGUCUUGGGUUCAAUCCCCAGUACCUCCA